rnacentral:lncRNA from 1 species
GAGGACAAGUCAGCUGAGAAAAGGAAAAAAGACAAGCAGGAAGACAGUUCAGAUGAUGAUGAAGCUGAAGAAGGAGAGGUUGAAGAUGAGAACUCAAGUGAUGUAGAGUUGGAUACGUUGUCUCAGGUAGAAGAGGAGUCUUUGUUAAGAAACGAUCUUCGUCCAGCUAACAAACUUGCUAAAGGAAAUAGGUUAUUCAUGAGAUUUGCUACAAAAGCCCCAGGUCUAGGAUCCAUCCAGGACUGAGUGUACUCAUUUUGCAUCUUACCUGCUCCACAUCUGGAAUCAGCCAUUUCUCCAAGGAGCUGGUGGGCAUGGUUUGAGGGGUUCGGGGGUUGGGGGCUAUACAUACUGGUUUGUGUUGUCACGUUUACCUACAGCCCUGGAUAUAUUUACAGUGGUGUUUGUUCUUUACAGUCAGAGUGUCCAAGAACUGUGGAAGGUCUUUGUAUUACUACUUUUGACAAAAAUUUAUGAUGACUGACCACCUUUCUUUCCUGUUAACUGACAUUUCAACUUGACAAAUGUGAUCUUUACCACAUUUACUCAUUUGAGUGGCUGAGUACAUUCUACAUGUAUAGUAUUAUGCUGUUUUCUUUAAGCCAUUUUGAGGAGCACAAUAAACUGGAAAAAUGAUUUACCAAA